AUGCGUGGGCGAGAGGCGGCGAGGAGCUUGGAGCAUUUUGCAGGUGCCACGGCUGAGGUGCACGUUGACGGCUUCUCCGGCAGUUUCAAGUUGUUGUUCGUUCUCGUUGGUCUUAGUCGCAGUGGCUAUUGCAUUUUUCUGCAAAAACAAAACAAAAAGAUAAAUAGUGAUGAGCAGUGGCUUCAAGAUUCAAAUGCAACUCAUGUUUAUUUUUCCUUCUUCGAAUUGUUCAUCCUUUUUUCUUUGAAUUCCGUCUCCACAGGUUGUUGUAAAUUGUUGGAUUUUGGCGUAACAAGUUUGUGGAUUAUGGUUUUAGAAAAUGGUUGUAUAUACAAAGUGGGUAUGUAG